AUUGGACAUGUGUUCAUGCUAAUGAGCCAUAUUACCUGUUACUCUUCAUAGUCCUUAUUUCAAAUUUGUGUUCCUGGUAAGUGUGUGAAGUCCUGAUAUUCACAGAGUCAAGAGCUAUGUAGGAAUGCUGUAGGAAUGCUGAAGGAAUUAUAAUAUGAGACAUAAAAUCUCUGGUCCAAUCAUUAGUCUCUGAUUUCUGUAAUUUUUAUUUUUUUAAUUAGAAAUCCUUUUUUAUGUACAAAAAAAAUAUUGGUUCAUUUUAACUGUAAAACAUUAUUAGCAUUGCAUUUAACAUAAUUCUAUUCCUCAUAUAAAUGUAAAAAUAAUAUAUAUUGCAGGAAUUGAAAAGGAAUUCACUUGAAGCACGUUUAUUUUUAAAUCACAAUUCAUACCCAGGGCUAUUAAAAGUACUGUAAAAAUAUGCAAAAAUUACAAAAAGAAAUAUAAAUAAAUUGAUAAAACAAAGAAAAAUCAUUAAAAUCAAUAAGAUUAAAAGUCAGAAAUGUAAAAUAAAAAUUAAAAAUGUACAAAUUCAGUUGUUCCCUUUAUAAAAGGCAUUACUAAAUAAGACAAAUGUCAGCGCAUAUUUAAACUUUAUUAUUAUUAUUAUUAUUAUUAUGAAACAUGGGAUUAUUUUUUUAAGAUCUUCAAAAACAAACCUCUACUAUGUAAAACGGAUCAAAUUGUGAUUUCGGUCACUGUGGUGCUUUACUAAAGACGGACACUAGAGGGCGCACAUCAGCGGUGGGACUACUGGGUCAGACAAAUAGACAAAGAAAGAAGAAACCGUGGAGCGGUCAAGAAGAUAGCAUCCGACGUUGAAUGGAUGCCUUUUUCCUCUACCGUAAGCAUCACACACCGAAAGGACAGAAGAUCAGCCAGCCAUUAAACUCGUCCAAACUUCCAAACACUUGGACCAAAUUGGAUCUGAUUGCAUCGGCGUCUGAGAAAAGAGCUAAAACACAAUGCAGGAGACCAAGAUGAUGGCAGAAACUGAAACCUAAUAACUCAAUGAUGUGAGGGAGCAACUAAGGUGGGACAAAACAGAUGAACUGACAGUGAAGAGCUGAAAGCCAGACACGUAAUACACUGAUGGUUAAUUAACUCAAAUGAAGACGGGAUGAUCAUCAACUUGAACUGUGGCGGAGUCGAGCCUGAAACCUAAAUAACCAAGAAGACAAAACGAAACCAACAAAUCCUCACUAUUUUCUACUCAGUAUGACUAUGAUGUAGAGAUGUCCAGCAAAGCUUCAUCCGGAUGAUUAAAAAAUCUUCCAAGUAAUCCAUGUCUUUGUCUUUGACAGUUUUCUGAGCAUAUACCUUUCCUGUUACAGGGCUGCAGUUUUACCUCUGAUUCAGUAAAACCCUCACAGAAAGAAACACAAAGCUGUAAAUGGACUCGAUUUUACUCUGGUGCUGCAAACCUACGGGGUACGUCAGCAGUUUUGCUGCUUUACUUUAGAGGACGAGAAAAAAAAGAAAACAGCAGCAGUCUGGGAGCGAGCUGCUCCCCUCAGCAUUUCAAAUCUCAAAAGAAAUUAUUGGGAUUUUGUAGAACUGGAGGAGAAAUGUGUGUUUUGAUUUUUAUAGUUUUUUUUUUCUUCUGCUAGAAGAGAAAUCUGCUGAUAGUUUGUGUUUGUGUGCUGCUGCUGUUUCUGACAAAACUACUGGGGAAACAGAUCUGAGCAGAAGGUCAAAUCACAGGUAGUGAUGAGCCGGCUGAACGCUGCCCAACAGAAGGAAAAGUUCAACCCCCUUCAUUCCUUCAUUCUUCUAUUAGAUGAUUUGAAUAUGCUCCUGCUGUCACCUGCAGGGCUAAACAAGCACUGCAUGUCACUCUCCAUGAAAAUCUAAGGUCUCUUCAAACAGCCUCCAUAAAUAAAGACAAACCAAGAAUCCUUCAGUCCUUCUGUUUGGAGUUUUCCAGGAUUUUAAAAUUUCUAACUACCAAUGCCACAGCACUGUUCUGCUGGAAAUACGUCUUAAAGAUUUAAUGGCUGUUUUUAAAGGAUUAGCGAAGCCAGUCAUGGUUGUGGGGCUCUCUGAAGACUGAACAAAAACAUCAUAAAGUGCUGAGGAUUUUCUUACAUUCUGCACAUCUACUGGUCCAUUAGGAUCACACUCAGGAUGACUGCAGAGAUGUUGUUUUAUUCACGACUGAAGUCAUAGGGUUUACGGUCAUGGAAACUUACCACAGUUGUGACUAAGAUCGGGUCGUACUUAAACUUUUACGAUCAGAAACGGGCAGAAAAAUGAGUUUAAGUGUCUGCACAGCCCCAAAUGGACCACAAGAAGAAGAAAAGUUGGAAGCAAACGAAAGCCAAGUUCUGUCUAAACAGGAAAUUACAUAUUUUUGAUUCAAAAUUAGUGUCAUUAUUUACCUGUUUGAUAUUCAAAUGUUCUGUCAAACAGGUGUUGGCCAAUACACUAAAUGA